AUUUGAAAGCGGGGGAGCUGGAGAGGCCGGCUGAGAUUGAGACCCUAAAAAGUCUGAGACCCUAAAACCUGAUCUGGAUAAUGCCAGCGUAGGUAAGCAGUUACUCUUUUUAU
rnacentral:ncRNA from 2 species